rnacentral:lncRNA from 1 species
UCCCUUAUAGGGCCAUAGGAAGCCAUGGCAUGUUUCAACAAGGAGAAAGAAAUAUCUAAUCUGCGUUUUAGAAAGAUGAUCAUUUGUGGUGAAAGGUGAACCUUGUGAACACAUUUAAUGGAAUAAAACAUUUUGUGAGAGCUGUAGGCAGUUGUGAUUGCUCGAGUGCCUCUUCUGCAUCAUGGAACCAGGAUUGAAGAGAAGAGCUCAGCCCCAAAGGAGAGGAACAGAAUUGCUUCUGGAAGCACCAUGAGAGCUUCCACUCUCCGUGAGAAAAGAAUAGCAGAGGAGGAAACGGUGGCCCUGGAAAGAGCUUGCUGUCUGAGAGGCAAAGGAGGCUGGCGGACACAGAGCUAAGAAAGGCUGCAUCUAUAUACACUUGUCCAUGAGGAGUGAGAUCAAGGGAGAGUGGUGAUCCAUUUUCUAUGCAUUAGGAGGCCAAAAGAAAACAAGAUUUUAUGAGGGGAGAGACUGACAACAUAUGCUGAAAUAAAAUCUGGGGAUCUAUAGGCUGCUUCACAGGGAAACAGAAGAAAGCUGAACCUACUUCCCUUUUCUAUAGAUUCCAGCCACACGUGAGCGCCUGGAGAAUCCAACCGUGUGGAUUUCCUGAUGGCCAAGUGAAGUACAUCUUUGUCUUUUGAAACAGUCCAGUUUUACAGGAAAGAAUUAAAAAAUGAGGAUCAUAUUAGCACUACACUAAUUAUGAACUGGAAUGUGUCAGCCAAGAAUGAAUUACAAGCUGGCCAGAGCCUGCAAACUCUAGCUGGAUAAAGUUCAGACAUGCAGCUGUGAGCCCUCCUGGAAGCUGGCCACCAUUUAUUACGGUGGCGCCUGGCAACAGGCUCGUCGUUAAGGGUCUGUCAGCCUUUCCAUUAGAAGCUCCAUCUUUUCAGGAUUCUCCAGCUCUCCCCUUUUAAAUCAC